GAUGAACGCUGGCGGCGUGCCUAAUACAUGCCAGUCGAGCGAACAGACGAGGAGCUUGCUCCUCUGACGUUAGCGGCGGACGGGUGAGUAACACGUGGAUAACCUACCUAUAAGACUGGGAUAACUUCGGGAAACCGGAGCUAAUACCGGAUAAUAUAUUGAACCGCAUGGUUCAAUAGUGAAAGACGGUUUUGCUGUCACUUAUAGAUGGAUCCGCGCCGCAUUAGCUAGUUGGUAAGGUAACGGCUUACCAGGGCAACGAUGCGUAGCCGACCUGAGAGGGUGAUCGGCCACACUGGAACUGAGACACGGUCCAGACUCCUACGGGAGGCAGCAGUAGGGAAUCUUCCGCAAUGGGCGAAAGCCUGACGGAGCAACGCCGCGUGAGUGAUGAAGGUCUUCGGAUCGUAAAACUCUGUUAUUAGGGAAGAACAAAUGUGUAAGUAACUAUGCACGUCUUGACGGUACCUAAUCAGAAAGCCACGGCUAACUACGUG
rnacentral:rRNA from 1 species